GCAUUAAUGGGGUAGUGGUAACCUGGGUCGUUGCCAUCCUCAACAAUGAGCAAAUUCAUUUCACUCGACCCGCCGGGGGUUCGAUUCCCUCUUAAUGCA